GGGCGGUUAGCUCAGCGGUAGAGCACUACGUUGACAUCGUAGGGGUCACAAGUUCGAACCUUGUACCGCCCACCA
rnacentral:tRNA from 13 species